rnacentral:rRNA from 1 species
GCAGUCGAAGGCAGCAUGAUCUAGCUUGCUAGAUUGAUGGCGAGUGGCGAACGGGUGAGUAAUACAUCGGAACGUGCCCUGUAGUGGGGGAUAACUAGUCGAAAGAUUAGCUAAUACCGCAUACGACCUGAGGGUGAAAGUGGGGGACCGCAAGGCCUCAUGCUAUAGGAGCGGCCGAUGUCUGAUUAGCUAGUUGGUGAGGUAAAGGCUCACCAAGGCGACGAUCAGUAGCUGGUCUGAGAGGACGAUCAGCCACACUGGGACUGAGACACGGCCCAGACUCCUACAGGAGGCAGCAGUGGGNANUUUNNGACAAUGGGGGCAACCCUGAUCCAGCAAUGCCGCGUGUGUGANNAAGGCCUUCGGGUUGUAAAGCACUUUUGUCCGGAAAGAAAUCGCACUUACUAAUAUUAGGUGUGGAUGACGGUACCGGAAGAAUAAGGACCGGCUAACUACGUGCCAGCAGCCGCGGUAAUACGUAGGGUCCAAGCGUUAAUCGGAAUUACUGGGCGUAAAGCGUGCGCAGGCGGUUGUGCAAGACCGAUGUGAAAUCCCCGGGCUUAACCUGGGAAUUGCAUUGGUGACUGCACGGCUAGAGUGUGUCAGAGGGGGGUAGAAUUCCACGUGUAGCAGUGAAAUGCGUAGAGAUGUGGAGGAAUACCGAUGGCGAAGGCAGCCCCCUGGGAUAACACUGACGCUCAUGCACGAAAGCGUGGGGAGCAAACAGGAUUAGAUACCCUGGUAGUCCACGCCCUANACGAUGUCAACUAGUUGUUGGGGAUUCAUUUCCUUAGUAACGUAGCUAACGCGUGAAGUUGACCGCCUGGGGAGUACGGUCGCAAGAUUAAAACUCAAAGGAAUUGACGGGGACCCGCACAAGCGGUGGAUGAUGUGGAUUAAUUCGAUGCAACGCGAAAAACCUUACCUACCCUUGACAUGCCACUAACGAGGCAGAGAUGCAUUAGGUGCUCGAAAGAGAAAGUGGACACAGGUGCUGCAUGGCUGUCGUCAGCUCGUGUCGUGAGAUGUUGGGUUAAGUCCCGCAACGAGCGCAACCCUUGUCUCUAGUUGCUACGAAAGGGCACUCUAGAGAGACUGCCGGUGACAAACCGGAGGAAGGUGGGGAUGACGUCAAGUCCUCAUGGCCCUUAUGGGUAGGGCUUCACACGUCAUACAAUGGUGCAUACAGAGGGUUGCCAAGCCGCGAGGUGGAGCUAAUCCCAGAAAAUGCAUCGUAGUCCGGAUCGUAGUCUGUAACUCGACUACGGAAGCUGGAAUCG